rnacentral:rRNA from 1 species
CCUUACCAGGGUUUGACAUACAAGUAGUAGGGAAAGGAACGUGGACGACCCUUCGGGGAGCUUGUACAGGUGCUGCAUGGCUGUCGUCAGCUCGUGUCGUGAGAUGUUCGGUUAAGCCCGCUAACGAGCGCAACCCUCGCUGUGUGUUACAAGUGUCACACGGAACUGCCGGUCAUAAACCGGAGGAAGGUGGGAUGACGUCAAGUCAGCAUGACCUUUAUAUCCUGGGCUACACACACGCUACAAUGGGAAGGGACAAUAGGUUGCGAAGCCGCGAGGCGGAGCCAAUCCAGCAAAACUUCCCUCAGUUCAGAUUGCAGGCUGCAACCCGCCUGCAUGAAGUUGGAGUUGCUAGUAAACGCAGGUCAGCCAUACUGCGUUGAAUACGUUCCCGGGGCUU